GCCUUCGUAGCUUAGUGGAGUGUUCCCUUCGUAAGGGAAAGGUCCUGAGUUCAAUCCUCAGCGGGGGCA
rnacentral:tRNA from 1 species